rnacentral:rRNA from 1 species
CCCUAUGGGGUGCAGCAGGACCACUUCGUCGUCUUUCAAGUCGUAGGUAUCGAACUGAAAGCCCUUCAUCCGCGGGUUUUCCGGUGAAAAGGGGCCGGCUUCCAGAGAAGCGACCACCCUGGCGGCAGCUCCGGUGUAGGGUCCGCCGGCGUGCAGCUUUGCCUGGGUCGUCACCUGGACCGAAUCCCACGUUUUGAAGGUGUCGCCGUUGAGGUCCGCCGUGACCUUGAAGGGCGAAGGGGUGAAGUCGCUCACCAGGACCCGCAUGGGCUCCCAUUGUUCGUUCGUGAAAUUGGCGGGAGGGC